GCCUGGGUGGCGGAAUAGGUAGACGCACAGGACUUAAAAUCCUGAGCUAUCUGAUAGCGUGCCGGUUCGAUUCCGGCCCCAGGCA
rfam:Cetobacterium somerae ATCC BAA-474 genomic scaffold Scaffold383, whole genome shotgun sequence.